CAGGAUGAACGCUGGCGGCGUGCCUAACACAUGCAAGUCGAACGGGGUUAAGGGAAAUUUCGGAUGGACCUUAACUAGUGGCGGACGGGUGAGUAACGCGUGGAUAACCUGCCUCACACAGGGGGAUAGCAGCUGGAAACGGCUGGUAAUACCGCAUAAGACCACGGUGCCGCAUGGCAUUGUGGUAAAAGAUUUAUCGGUGUGAGAUGGAUCCGCGUCUGAUUAGCCAGUUGGCGGGGUAACGGCCCACCAAAGCGACGAUCAGUAGCCGGCCUGAGAGGGUGAACGGCCACAUUGGGACUGAGACACGGCCCAAACUCCUACGGGAGGCAGCAGUGGGGAAUAUUGCACAAUGGGCGCAAGCCUGAUGCAGCCAACGCCGCGUGAGUGAAGAAGUAUUUCGGUAUGUAAAGCUCUAUCGGCAGGGAAGAAAGGCCCUUUAAGGGAGAUGACGGUACCUGACUAAGAAGCCCCGGCUAACUACGUGCCAGCCGCGGC
rnacentral:rRNA from 1 species